rnacentral:rRNA from 1 species
GAUGAACGCUGGCGGCGUGCUUAACACAUGCAAGUCGAACGGUGAAAGCGGAGCUUGCUCCGCUGGAUCAGUGGCGAACGGGUGAGUAACACGUGGGCAACCUGCCCCUCACUUCGGGAUAACUCCGGGAAACCGGGGCUAAUACCGGAUAUGACCUCCUUGGGCAUCCUUGGAGGUGGAAAGUUUUUCGGUGAGGGAUGGGCCCGCGGCCUAUCAGCUUGUUGGUGAGGUAGUGGCCCACCAAGGCGACGACGGGUAGCCGGCCGGAGAGGGCGACCGGCCACACUGGGACGGGGACACGGCCCAGACGCCUACGGGAGGGAGAAGUGGGGAAUAUUGCGCAAUGGGCGAAAGCCUGACGCAGCAACGCCGCGUGCGGGAUGACGGCCUUCGGGUUGUAAACCGCUUUCAGCAGGGAAGAAGCCGCAAGGUGACGGUACCUGCAGAAGAAGCACCGGCUAACUACGUGCCAGCAGCCGCCGUAA